CUUGCUUCUCUUGAGAGCGGCGGACGGGUGAGUAAUGCCUAGGAAUCUGCCUGGUAGUGGGGGAUAACGUUCGGAAACGGACGCUAAUACCGCAUACGUCCUACGGGAGAAAGCAGGGGACCUUCGGGCCUUGCGCUAUCAGAUGAGCCUAGGUCGGAUUAGCUAGUUGGUGGGGUAAUGGCUCACCAAGGCGACGAUCCGUAACUGGUCUGAGAGGAUGAUCAGUCACACUGGAACUGAGACACGGUCCAGACUCCUACGGGAGGCAGCAGUGGGGAAUAUUGGACAAUGGGCGAAAGCCUGAUCCAGCCAUGCCGCGUGUGUGAAGAAGGUCUUCGGAUUGUAAAGCACUUUAAGUUGGGAGGAAGGGUUGUAGAUUAAUACUCUGCAAUUUUGACGUUACCGACAGAAUAAGCACCGGCUAACUCUGUGCCAGCAGCCGCGGUAAUACAGAGGGUGCAAGCGUUAAUCGGAAUUACUGGGCGUAAAGCGCGCGUAGGUGGUUUGUUAAGUUGGAUGUGAAAUCCCCGGGCUCAACCUGGGAACUGCAUUCAAAACUGACUGACUAGAGUAUGGUAGAGGGUGGUGGAAUUUCCUGUGUAGCGGUGAAAUGCGUAGAUAUAGGAAGGAACACCAGUGGCGAAGGCGACCACCUGGACUAAUACUGACACUGAGGUGCGAAAGCGUGGGGAGCAAACAGGA
rnacentral:rRNA from 1 species